rnacentral:lncRNA from 1 species
AAGGAAACUAAAACUUAUCAAGAAACAGCCAGUUGACAAACAAGAAGGAUAAGUACACUUAACUUGCUGACUAAACUUUAAAACAGGAUCAUAAGAUACAAAACAAUUACAGCAUAACAAGCACGGCAUAUUCUCAGAAAUAGGUAAGAUAAGAGGGGAGGAGGGAGGGGGAGAGAGAGAGAGAGAGAGAGAGAGAGAGAGAGAGAGAGAGAGAGAUAUGUGUGUGUUUCAGAAACGUACUCUUGGAGCGAGUUGAGAUGCUGUUUGGGAUGGGAAAGAUAGAAAAGGGGUGGCAAUUUCAUACAGUAUCCGUUACCCGUAACGCCGCCCAGAUUCGACCCAAUUUACAAUGCGAUUUGUUGACAUGAAAUUCGAAACUUAUCUGAAAAUCACUUCAUUAACACGAACCGGAUCCAAAAUAAUCAGAAAUUAGAAUUUUAUUUCUAAAAAUUUUAAUUUUCAGUUUUAUUCAAUUAUAAGUAAUAUUUUGUUUUACUGGAAACGUGCGUAAAUAAACAAAAAAAAUUGAUAAAUUAGAUAAAUAAAUUUUUUCUUUGCUAAACAGCUCAAAAAUUAUUUAUGAACAAAAGGGAAAAACAUAAUAAAUUGCCAUUUGUACGUCAUACUUUAUCAAUAGUUAAAGACUAAAACCGCAAGAGAUAAUUAUUGCAAUUAUUAAAGAUAAAAUCACUAUCUUUUCACAUAAGUUAAAAAGGUAACCCUAAUUUGUAUAUAUUAAAUUCACUACGCUAUUCAAAAUAAUAAUAUAUAAUUUACGUUGUGAUUUAUAGUAAUAGUUUAGCAUGACAAGUAUAUAAUUUAAAUUGUUUAUUUAGGUAAUUUUAUAUUAUAGAUGAUUUAUGAAAAUGACUUAUGAAAUAUUAAAAUAUACAAAAAAAAUUGGAAAAAUCAUUUAAAUUAUCAAAUCGAUUUUUACUAAAAAAGAAAAUAAUUUACCCAAAAAUAACACAUGUUAUCAAUUUAUGAAAUAGGUGGAUAGUUGAAAUUGAUUUAUUAUAUUAACGAGCUACGAUCAUUCAUAAUGACAUGUUCGAAUUUAGGGAUAUGCAUAUAAAAAUUUUAUAUACAAAUCAAUCAUAAUCCAAAUACAUUUAAUAGUUAUCUCCUUUCAUUCAUAUUUCUCUCUCCCACUCCUUUUCAACCUUCUUAUAACUCGUCUAUACAUAUUUAUAUAUCUCACCUAUAAGUGUGUUUUAACAUUCUAUCAUGUAUCAAUUGAACGAUAUUAUAUAUAAUCACCAGUCGGUCGGUCGAUCAUUUGUUGUCUUAUUAUUAUCUUUUCAUUUAAGUUUAUCAAUACAAGAUGAUUUAUUUUUUGAAAAAUUGUAUGAUUAUCUGUUUAAUAGUUAGUUGUCUAGAACUCGAUCGAUUUGGCUAAUAAUUCGACUAAGUACUACUCUAACUCUUUUCCUAACUAAUUCUAUAUUAUUUGAACGAUAACUCAAUUCUGAAUCUAACUCGGAUAAAACUCGAUAUAACUCAAACCAAACUCGAGACAUCUUAAAUUAGACAUUAAAAAAUCUAAUAAAUAAAAAAAGUUUAAAAACUAAAAAGAUUAAACAUAAUAAGUAAUAACAUAAUUAUCUAACACUCGUAAAAUUUAAUGUAGCAUCUAAUAUACAUAUAUUAAUUAUAAUUUAAUCUCCAAAUUUAAUCUCCACAAUCAAUCUAUGAAUACAUCCAAAACAAUUUUCCGAGUAUUGCACAAUUAACUCGAUAAAAUCACCGAGUCAAAUUAUAAUUUGAUAUUUAGGAUAGAGGCUAGUCCUUUGAGUAUCAUGAUCCAUUGAACACUAUCACCGACACCGAGUAUAAUUCUUGGAUCACAAGACAAAUCUAUAAUUUUUAAUUCUUUUUAUUUGUUUUUUUGCCAAGAUAAUUUUUAAUUUUUUAAGGUGCUCCCAAUCUCUCAAACACACUUUAUAGUAAAUUUUGAAACUACCUAAAAGGCUAAGAGCAAUUAUGUACGACAAAAAUGUAGGCAUUCAAUUCAUCGUUAUGGGAAGUUCAUAAUACAGGAGAAAGAAAUAAACUAGAAAAAACCUUAAAAAGUAUAGAUUUAAAUUUUUGCCAAUGCACGUUAAGAAAUCCCACGCCGAAACACCAGAAAGACACUUCCAGUAACAACAUUUUACACAAUCUGACAAUGUAUUGGAAUAUAACCAAAGAAAGAGAUUAAAGAAGGAGAGAAUAAAAGAAAGAUGAAAAGGGUGUUCAAGUCAUCUCUCAGAUAUUACAAACCCACCAGAAACUCGCCAAGUUGCUGUGACCUUGCUCAUAAUAGUACUUCUCCCCGACUAGAGUGGGCCUGCCAAGAAGAAUCAUUUCAUGAGUUAGUUCAAUGUGUUCCAUGAUCAAGUUCCAAAAAAACCUACUGGUCACCAACAUCGAACAGACGUACACGUGGAGAUGGUAUACAUCACCUGUCAAAUUGCAUACUUCAACUCCUUCCGCGAUACUCUUCAACUGACGUUGCACCAGGGCAUUCAAGAAAGUAAGCAUAACCCAGCCUUAAUCUAACAUCGCCUUGGUCCUGCUCGUCAAAUUCAUAACCUGCAAAAUCAAGUUUGACAAUCUUAUAAGCCUUUUGAAGCAGUGAUGGCGAAUAAGUGUAUCAGCAAAAUUAAGGUCCCUAGAUGUGCAAUCAUCACUUCCAGCAUAAAUUGAAAAGCUUGUUAGAGCUGGUUGCUACUGCCUACUAAUGGCCUUCUUGGUAUGCGCAGAACAAAAAUACGAGAUACAUGCCAGUGCUCAAGGAAAAUAAGCCUAUUAUAUCAUACUAUCAGAGAAUAUUUAUUUCAUCGAAAACAUAGGCUCAAACCCAUAAAUCAAUUUAGAUUUUGUGUCAGAUUCGGAAGCCUUAUUAUUGCAGAUUCUCUUUGCUCAGUUGUCUUCUCCAGGGACACAUUGAACCAGAAUGAAACCUCUGGUCAGGAGAUCAGCGCAGUCCAUAUCUUUAUACAAACGGGCGGAUUUAGAAAGAAAAAGAUAUAUCAGAGUAUCUAUUUUCCAGGUUGAGUAGAUUACUAAAAAGAAGAAUCAUAACACAAACAAGCUAUAUCUUUAUAAAGUAAUUAAACAAAUAUGAGCCAUAAUAUCUGAUAUCAAGUGAGUACUAAAUUAUGUAAAGUCGUUGGAUAAACCUAAAAGAAGAUUUGGAAUUGUUAGCUUUUGACAAAAAAUUUAAGUUCAUUCAACAUGUAUCCAGAAUCUAUUUCCAUCACGUAGUGGUAGAAUCAUUUGUCUAUGACAGGCCUAAAGAGAGAGAUAUACAUGCUACAAAAUGAGACGGCAAUCAUAAUUUUAAGGCAUUACUGACCUAACUCGAUUGGACAAAAUAUCAAUAUUAUGAUUCUAACUAUGUAACAGCAGAAUGAUUCUACAACUUAAUCCUUUCCCUAGAAAGUGUUGGUUAUUCCAUAUUUUACAUGCAUAAGACAUGUAAUAGUGUAAUGCACAUCAGUGGUCACCUAAUUAUCACAGCGAAUCUUAAAUUGUCGUAAAUCUUUAGUCAAAUUACGUGUAUUUAAUUGUACCUGAAUAAUUCAUAGAUACGUGUAUAUACAUGUUCAUACAGUACACCUAACAAAUACGUUGACUUGGCUUUUCAAUUACGACUACAGACAGGCAGCCACAUUGCACUGGCGAUGUAGGAACUCGAAAGGCUAGAAAAACAUGGAAAUAAAUAAGAUUAACACACAGCAGUCAAAACAAUGCUGAAGGUGUGCCCUUUAACAAUUUUCAUAACUAAUUUCAUGAAAGAUAUAUGAUAGAUCAUGUAGAGCUAUGAACUUAAGUACGCUAUAGCUCAAAGACGAAGGUAUGCUGACAUCAAGCUCACCUUGUAGGCAAUCCAGAGCACUGGCUGCGUAACCUGGGCUCUCAAAAUCGACAAAACAGUACACCAACGGGUCACCAUUAGACUACAACAAUUUACAGCCAACAUGUAGUUAGCAAAUUAUUCAUAUUGAAUAUAUCAUGUAUCCGUUUAAUACAUAUAAUUAUAUGAAGAUACAUAUGCACUUACGUUUCUUGACGCUCUGGGAACAAAGCUAACGCCUUUGUAACCUAGAAAGGGGCGAAAUAUAUCUGCAGUCCCAAGUGACGGAAUACAACAGAAAGAAAAGAAAAAAAAAGAGAGAGAAACAAGUGCAACAUGUGCUUUUACAAGCCACAAAGGAUACGAGCUACUUCCCUGCGAGAGCAAUCUUGAGGUAAGCCAUCUACAAACAAAGUACAACUGGCAUUUGGAGGUCGAGGACCCUCAGGUCCCCUGACUCCCACCAACUGGGGUUCUGCCAUCGCUGCGUCUGAGCCUCCACUACCCAUAACGUUGUGAUCAUCAAUGGGAAUGGUAACCUCACUUCUAUUGUUAAAACAAAGAAUCUGGCACACAGACUAGUAUAUCAGGACUGAUAUAGUAAAUAACAGAUGACGCAGUUAAAGCGUAAAAUAUGCAAGGUCAAACCCUAUGUACCUCACCACAGGGACAACAAUCACUUGGUUCCUCGGCUCUCAUAACACGUUGGGCUCCUCUUCUGUCAUGACUGCCAUUAUAGUCCUGGGCACCACGAACAUCUACAGAGCAAAGUACCAACGAAAUAGUUCGCACCAUUAUAAUCUUAUAUAAACAAAAUUAAUAAAUACUUUACCAGGUGCAGCAAAAAAGAAGACUUUAAGAUGACUGGAAAAUAUUUAGCAAUCAAACACAUGAACGUCUUCUAUCAAUAGAAGGGAACCAAGUAUGCCAAUAUGUUACAAGGUUGCUAGGUUGCACACAGCUGAAUCUACUAUGCCUAGAAGCAGCCACAGGGUAACAAAACAUUCAAGGAUUGGUUUAACCCAGAUUCCCUUAAAUUCUAUCAAAUAUGGGGAGUUUCUGUGUUGGCUGGAUUGGCUUGACGGAUAUAUAGUGUGUUCGUCUAACAGAGAUUUGUUGGGAGAUAACAAAAAAUGAGGUUUGGGAAGGAAACUGUUUUGCUUUUUCAAUAAAUUACUAAUAAGUCAGUCAAAUGUGCAACUCAUUCAGCAGCCUUACUUCUAAAGUCAGUUCUUAAGCAAGAGCCUCUACAAAUCUCAGAAUACUUGUGCUCCUGUUACUCAUUAAAAAAAGUGCAAUAUUUUAGCAUUUUAUGCAAGAACGGGCACCAUAAUAAAUAUAUCGCGGUCGCCAAAGUCAUUAAGAUGUAUCAAUAGGUUAUGUGUUUUUACUAUAUCCAAGUGCAUUUACAGUCAGGGAUAAAACGAUGCAUUGAAUGCACAUACUUUCCACUCAUGUCAUCACUUGACACGUUCUUAAAGUGGAGCAUAAUGAAAGGAACCCACCCAAUUGGCCAUAUAGCUCAACAAUUAAACAAGAAAAGGAAAUGUGAAGAUUGUGAAAUCCUAGUGUUACUGAUGACAAUAGCUGUCAAAAUAAACAAAACGUUCAGGUAUAAUAAGAAAGCAACAAUCAACUCAGUUGCAUCUGGCUCAUUGUCCAUCAGCCCAAAUCAAUCGCCAUGAGAUUACUGAAUAGGGAAACACAUAGUAUCAAUGAACAAAAUAAAAAUAGUGUCCAACCCUGAUAGUGCAGUGCAAGAUUACUCAACAGAGAAAGACCCGAAUGAUUAUUGAACAAAACAUUAACAGAUAAAAGUACAACGUGAAGCUAAUAUCCUGCAUUCCUGCACCUGAACUACACCUACGCGAUGAUAAAAAGGUGAAAAAGAAGCACCAGGUUUUAUGAAUUCGCCAGAAGAACUAUUCUAGUAGUUGCAUACAUAUUAUUGGUUUAGUUUCUUUUGUUAGUUUAGAAACCUCAACUACUCACAAUAGAACCAGAAAGACAAAGAAUUACAGCUAAAAUUUAUCCUUAAAUGUUAAUAAUUUCACAGACUACCCAUGCAAGAAAGUCUUCAAGGUAAUUAAAAGAUAUAGAAAGUAUUUCAAUGCAAUUAUAACAUAUACAUUCAAAUCCCUCUACACUAAUCAGCACAAUCACUGUGCCAUUUGUUAUGAACUAACAAGCAUAUGAUACCUUUUGGAAAAAGGUCUUUAAGCCAGUUAAUCGGUUGAAAUAAGUAUUACGGAAAUUAUCAAAUAAACUUGAAAAUGAAGUGAAAUUAUCAAAUAAACUUGAAAAUGAAGUUAAUGAAAUAUUUGCUCCUAUUAGAAUUAUAACAAUAUCAUCAACCCUCAAAUUUCAAUUGUGAUACAUGAAGACAAACAAAAUUCAGAAACACAUAUUGAUAUGUGCCUGUGGGGGUGUUUGUGCAGAUAUAUACAUAAAAAAAUUUAUCAAUAGAAAUGAAACAAAAGUUUUCAUAUGGAAAUGGCGACUACUACAAGCUAGCCACAUUAUAAAUCAACCUGACUAACACAAUUCAAAUUUAUGAACUAAAACCUCUAGUAUGACCUAAUAGCUCCUCACAAUCUGGACACCUUGAAUACUUAAAGAUCACAAUUUAACCCCAUAAUUUUUUUCUCCACCAGAAAUCUCGCAACUUGAUAGUACAUAUGUACAAAUAUUCAAUCACAAAAACUGUAAACAAAAAUAUAACAAGGAAAGAAUCAACAACUCGACACAAAUCAGCUACUUUCCCAAUUUGUGCUCACUUAAAGAUCUAACUGCUUUUGAAUUUAAACAUAAUAUAUGACCAUAUAAGAGUCCCAAACAAUCUUAGGCAACUCAAAAAUAUUUAUUCACAAUUAAAAAAAUAAAACCCUAACCUUUUUCCUACUUUAGAAGGAUCAGAAUGUUAUGAAUAUACAUAUAUACGCACAAUCAUAUAUAUAUAAAUAUACAUCAUAGGAAAAAUACGACACAUAUAAAAAACCAGGAUCCAUAACAACUAGUGGAAUAAUAUCUGUUAAAUGAAAACAGUCAGCAUCUUACACCAACUAUGAGUAAUUUCUCUAUUAGACCUUAACUGAAUCUAUGAGAUUCAAACUUUAAGAGUUUAGCCGUCUAGCCUUAAAAAAACUCCUUGCAAUCUACAUACAUACAGAUACAUGACACAAACACGGGCGCACAAAUUUAGACAUACAUAUAUAUACAAAUAAAGAUAUAAACAGACCACAAUAUAGCUAUAAGAUUAAGAAAGAAUUAAAAUUUGAACAUCAGAUAUGACCUCAAACAACUCCCUAUAAUUACACAAGAACAAGCUUCCUCAAUUGAAAAAAUGCUUGUAAAUUGAUGUAUUCACACACGCAUAUACACAGAGCUAUUUGCAGAUCUACAAAUUUGUAUACACAAUAUAAAUAUCUUAGAUAUAGACAGACCUCAACUAAAGCAAAAAGAAUCAGACAUCAUAUACAACUUAAUACAACUCCUCAAAACACACCCAAACACAAGAAUCACAAAAUUCACAAUUGAAUCCUGAAUCUUGUACUUUUAUAUAUGCAUUUGCGGAUAGAGAAUUCACCAAAAUUGAGGCAAGGGCGCAGCUCGAGGAGAGAGGGGAGAUCAGGGGAGGUAUCUGGUUGUCUGUGUGCAGUAAGCAUCCAGUAAUAAUCAGCCAUUUUGAAAAUUUUAACACAAAGCUAAUGGACAGAGUAGCCUGAAAUUUGUUUUGUGACAGGAUUUCUAUGUUUGUUUUACCAGGGAAGAAAUAACAAGUAACAGACUAUACAGGCGCAGGGGGGGGGGGGGGGGGGGGGNAAUACUCAGGUGGACUACAAAUUUCAUUCAGAUUUCUUUAAAGAAUUAGAAAAAUAUAAACUUUUAAUUGAAAAUAGAAAUAAUAGAAUACAAUUUCUAUCAUUUUUAUAAAGAUCAUGGAAAAUAACAAAUCAGUUAAUAAAAAUAAGAUAUAUAAAUUUAUAAUUUUAAAACUAUAAAAUAUUAUAGACAUAUACAUAUAUAUAAUAGGGGAGGGUUCCGGUACAAACUUUUUAAGAUAAGAACUUACAAACUUCUUGAACUUUAGUUUUUUUAAUUGCUAACUUCAUAAGUAACUGAAAAACGAUUACUACACAAUUAAAAAACAUAAUUCUGAUAGUUUAUUACUUUAUUGUGAAUAAUUGGAAUUUUUUGUAACGUUGUUCAACACCUAUAACUUGAGUUCAAUAUUUCCUGUUGAACUGUAAUUAUACUUGUGUUGAAUCAAAUAUAUAACUAUUUUUACAAAGAUAUAAAUAAGUAAUAUAUAAAUACACACACCAUGGUUUUCAUGUCGGUCGACUAGUCGGCGACUAAACGGUGAAUGGAUGUCGACUCAACAUGUCGACUAGGUGAAUGUCGAUAUUUCGGUCGCUUGGUCAACUAAGCGGUCGACUAGUCAACGACUAGUCGACUAGUCGAGUUUGGGCCACCGACUAGUUGACUGUUUUUCUGCAAUAUGCAUUCUGCAUAAAUUUUGUUAUUUGUUUACUGUACUGCCACAUCACACCAGUAUCACAUAAUUGAUAUUUAUCAAUUGUUAGCUUGAUACAUAUGUUACGUGAUAGCGAGUACUUUGCUUUGUUGUUAACUAGUUUCGCUUUUCAUCGUUCUCUUUAAGUGUCCGAUUCUUAAUUCCUUAGAAUCUGAAAUAAAAUAUUAUCGAAGGUACAUAAUACAAAUAUAUGUAUGUGUGUGUAUAUGUAUAUAAUAUAUUUUUAAUUUAUAAUAAAUAUUUUUUUUUAUCAACUAGUCAACGACUAGUCAACUAGCGGGAGGUCUAUCGACUCACCUCGACUCAUCGACGUGACAACCAUGACACACACACACAUGUAGAUAUAUAUAUAUAUAUAUAUAUGUCCUGGUUCUUGUUUUCAACACAAUAAUAACUGAUGUUCGUAGACAAUGUUGAACUCGAAUUAUUAGUAUGUUGAACACAUGUAAUAUAAAAAAAAUUAUUUAUUUAUUUUUUAAUAGGCGAUAUUUUUUUCCAACUAUUUUUUACAUGGACAUCUAAAACAACUAAGAUAUGACAUGUACGAAAAAGUUGUACAUGAUAUAUAUAUAUAUAUAUAUAUAUAUAUAUAGGUGCUCAAAUGAGAACCCCAUAUCUCUGUGAGAAAUGAGAACUAACCUAAGCCAUUAGAUUAAUCUAAUCUAAUGGCCCCCCUAGUAUUCACCACACACAAUGAAUCUGUACCCUCUCACACAUGAUCCACAGAUUCCCUUCCGUUUUUAAAUUGAUUUUUCCCGUCAAUCGGUAAACUUUUUUCAAAAUCCGACUUCACUGAAUUUUUAUUCAUCUCCCAACGAUCAAUUUGCAUACCAUAUGUGCUAUGCUUCGACAAAGUUCUCAUUUUAAUCUCAUUUUAAGGGUUCUCACUAGAGUAACCCUCUACACACACACACACACACACACAAAAGUUAUCAAUUCCAUACAAUAUCCGACUAAACUUGUAUAUAUAUUUUUUGCAAGACUGCUGCAACAUGCUUAAGUUAAUAUUGUUAAAUAUUUUACUUCCGUAAAUGGGGUGUAUUCAAUAUAGAUUCCAAAUGAUUUUUCUCAUAUUCCAAAAAUCUCGGCAUAUCAAAUUUAGAUUUUAAAGAAUUCAUUAAAAUCUAAGAUAUUGAAUCAAGAUUUUAAAAGUUUUAAUAUAUUCAUUUUUAGAUUUGACAAAAUCUUUUAGAUGUCAUGGUAUUCAUUAUAGAUUACAAACAAUCUUUUAAAAUCUUCAAGUAUUCAAAAACUUUUUGACUGUGAAGGAUUUUAUAAAUUGAUAUUUAUGUUGGAUUUCAAAGAGUAUUUUUUUCUUAUUUCGAAAUCUCAAAUAAAUCUAAGAGUUUCUUUUAUAUUUAGGAACAAUGUUGUGUGGACUCUAAGAAACUAUCGGUUAUAUCAACUACUACAUUCUUCUAAAAUUCAUUAAUUAUUAAAAAAAUUAAAUUACGAACUAAACACACACCCUAGAUGUAUAUCUAUAGUAUUUUUAUGCAAGUGUGUGUGUGUAGGGCACAUACCAUUACAAACUCUAUAAACCUCUCCAAAAUCCAUCAUUAUUGAUACAAGUUGCUCUCUUAAGGUUCACCAUUUUCUUGAAUAUAAAAUUUAAAAAUGAUAUAUUAUUUAUUAUAUAAAUUAAUAUUUCUAGUACGAUUCAAUGUUUAUAUGACAACUUAAAUUACAAUUCAUUAAGACAAAUAUGAUUUUUAAUUUCUUUAUACUCGAAAUUUUUAGUAAUUUUCCACUUGCACUUUUAGUGCAUUCCGUGUCAUCGUUAGUGAAUUCUGCAAGUUAUAGUCAAAAAUCUGUAUUUGAACAUUCAAUCCACCCGGGCCCAUUAAAGCCUCACCUAGGUUCCAACAGGCCUCAUGCAAGCUCUAGACACGUCAAGGAGCCUGCACUAGGCCUCACCGUGGUCUGUCCCACCAAGACGGUCCAUCCCAGGCCCCACAACCCUUCCCAUUCUCCUGGUUCCUAUUUAGUUUCUAUUUAAUUGUUUUUUAUUGGAGUAUGACCCUCUAUGUCUAUAUAUAUGUUAUAUAAAUAUUUCAGACACUUUGAGUAGUAUAAACAUUGAGUUUUCAUAUAUAAUUGAUGGAAUUUGACCACCAAACCUCUGUUUUAUUGUAAAUACAAAAUUUUAAUAUAUUAUCAAUGUGGUUCGACUUCCGGCCUUAGAGUUUUGAUACUAAUAUUACAUACAAUCGAUUGACUAUAAAUUUUCUCACCUUUGGAUAUAAAUAUACAAUAGUCUGUAUAUUCGUAAUUGAAAAUAAACACGUACACAUAAGCAUGUCAGAAUUUACAUGUUGCAGUUGAGUUGAGCUAUGUGAAAUACACAUACCUGAUACCUGCGCCAAUGCCACCAGUCUAGUCUUCUUUGUAGCAUAACAGCGUAUUUCAAAUAUCCUUCUUGAUUCCAUCAAAUAGCAUUCUGGAUCCCGCCGAAUGGGAAAAAUGUUUCUUCAUUCUCUCUCUCUCUAUAUAUAUAUAUAUAGAUCUAUAAAUACAAAUUAAGCCAAAUGAAAUAUGGUAUCUCUUAUAUCUUUACACCUUUCGAAUCGAUGACACUACUCCAAAUAUAAGAUGGAUACAAAUGGUAGACUUGAAGGCUCAACUCAAUGUUUUCGAAUGGACAGUACCCAGAGACAUAGAUAGCUCGAUCAUUAUUUCCAAAGUAUAAAUGGAUUCAGUGGUGGCCAUUGAUUAGAACUUGCAAGUUCGAGACAAAAUUUCUUGAAUGUUCACGACACUUAAUAUUAUACCUAUACUGUCAUAAAAAAUGACAGGUAUAUUUUUUAAUGAUUGUGAAUCAGGAAAAGAUUGGUUUCUUCCAACUUCAAUCUGUACCAUGACUAGGCUGAUACUAACAAUUGUAUUUAUCGGUGAUUAAAAACCGAGCCUAACGAAAGAAUAUAACUUUCUUUUCCAAUUAAAAUAUCAACAAUUAAUUUUAAAACACUUCAGAUCCAUCACUUCACCUCCAUUAAUUCUUUUUUUGUAAUUUACAUAUGCAAAAGGCAAACACCUGGAACCAAGUAGUCUACUAAUCAAUUAGGUGAUCUAACACUAUGUCUGCCAGGUUUCAAAACUUCAAGGGAUAGAGAGUUCAAGAAACAUACAGCCAAACAAAUAUAAUAGCACGGCACCCAUUUGUCAAAUAGUAAUUAUAGAGGUUUAAAACAAGUUUAAACAAAUGGGCAUCCAUCCAAACACAAGAAGCCCUUAAGAAUCCUACAAAGAUGAGACCUUUAAAACAACUAUGGACCCAUUAUACAAUUUAUAGAGGAAAUUCUAAGAUCAAUGGGCAUGAAAUAUAGAGAUACAUGAAUUCAUAUAUAGCAGGGUUUGACAAUAAUAUUAUCAAGGAAAUUAAAACGUAUCAAGAAACAGAGAGUUAACAAACAAGAAGGAUAAGUACACAUAACUUGCUGACUAAACUUAAAAACAUGAUCAUAAGAUACAGAAGGAGUACAGCAUAACAAGCACGGCAUAUUUUCAGAAAUAGGUAAGAUAAGAGGGGAGGAGGGAGAGAGAGAGAGAGAGAGAGAGAGAGAGAGAGAGAGAGAGAGAGAG